UUCUUCUUUCACGUGUUGACUUUCUCUUCUCCCGUCACACGCGAGUGGGGGUGUUGUGAAGUGUAUAUGUGGAUUGCCUAGCCCUUUCCAUCAGUUCGGACUUUUGGUUCAAGUGGCUAGUGCAUGAAGCUUAACAUGGUAUCAGAGCCCCAGGUCUCGAGUUCAAAUCCUGGCUUUCACAUGGUUUUCGCAAUUAAGCCUAAAAAUUGCUGUUGCCCCCUCUUUAGCCACCGCUGAUGCUCUGUUUCGGUGUGCUCUUCUUCUUUCACGUGUUGACUUUCUCUUCUCCCGUCACACGCGAGUGGGGGUGUUGUGAAGUGUAUAUGUGGAUUGCCUAGCCCUUUC